CUGGCGUGCAGUGGCACCAUCUGGGCUCAUUGCAACCUCUGCCUCCCGGGUUUGAGAAAUUCUCCUGCCUCAGUCUCCUGAGUAUCUGGGAUUACAGGCACCCGCCACCACGCCUGGCUAAUUUUUUAAAUAUUUUUAGUAGAGACAGGGUUUCACCAUGUUGACCAAGCUAGCCUCAAACUCCUGACCUCAGGUGAUCUACCCACCUUGGCUUCACAAAGUGCUGGGAUUACAGGCAUGGGCCACUUUUCUAUUUGUUUAUUUUUGUGUUGGUUUUUCUAUUUUUGGUGUUUCUGGAUCAUGGACUUUGAAAAACUUCCUGGCUUAGCAAAUUAGUGUCCUUGUUUCAGUAGCUUCUGCUUGAAGAUUUCUGCUGUAGGCAAUGAGCCAACUGGCCAGAAAAUAUCCAGUUAUGCUCUGCAGGUUCAUGGUGGAUGGGGACUUUCACUGUUGUUUAGAGAAACCAUUGAGUGGAUAACGUUCCAAACAGCAAAAUCAAAUGGGGAUUCUGUACACUCGGGAGUGUCGGCUCUGGACAAAUUAGGUUGCACUUGAUUGUAAGAAGCCAGGCUUUAUUAAAAUAGAAUAUAAAUAUUAACAGAAACGGACUGCUUCUAAUCCCCACUACCGUUGGCCAGGGAGGCCUCUCUUCAGGUUUUCUGAAUGGAACUAAAUAAGGAGCCCAUGUUACCGCGGAAAGGGCACUGUGAUUAGGAGCCUUUCAUGAGCUUCCAUGAACGUCUAGGGCUUGGAAACUUCAUUUUCAAAAUAAGGCUGUUGGAUUAGAUGAUUUUCCCAACCCCUAACCCUCUGUGUUAAUGAAUGGACUGACUCUAUAAUCAUGUUCCUUGGACAUUUCUAUGGAAACACUGAGCCAUCAUAAGGGAGGCCUUCAUUCUGAUGUAACAAAGCCAGCUGUGUCCACAUGAGAACAUUGGCAAGAGUGGGGACAUGGAAGCUGUGUUCAGGCCGGUCCACGCUGGGUGACCCAUGUGACCUGCUGCUUAGCAAUUCCUUGUCACCAUCUUCCCUUCUCAGCCUCUUUUUUCAUGCUAACAGGCAUAAAUGAAAUGAUAAAAGUUUGAGCUCUUCUCGUGGAAUUCUCGUGAUACAGAUAUGUGCUACAUGUUCAUCAUCUCGUUGGUCUUCACCAUGAUAACUGUGGAGUAAGAAUUAUAAGCAGGUCACAGAUUAGGGACUUGAGAUUGACAGUUUGGCUUCCCUGUUCUGGGUGGCAAAGCCUGUGGAGUACUCACCUACCUGCUGCAUGAAGGCAGCAUGGAGGGACUGUGGUGGAUUAUCUGCAAAGAUGGCCAAAAUUCUCUCAUCCCUGCAGGCACAUACAAGAUGCCAGAAUCAGUCAAAACUAAGCUCACUGUCCUUGCUAAUAUUCUGCCCCAGAGAAGAACUGAAGCUCAGCUCUUCACCCUACAGAAAGCCUGAAUUUUGUAAAUGUUCUGCUUAGAAUGAGGAAGAAAGAUGAAGAAUGAGGAGGAAGAAGGAAGGAACGAGAGAGAGGUUGUUGCAUGGCAUAAGUAAAGUGACAGUUAUAGGAUACAUGCAACUUUUCAGUGACAAAGAUCUGUGCAGCAUCGACAGUACUGCCUAAUGAGGUUUCACCAUAAUGAAGUAUCACAACCAGUUUACAGACCAGAAAACUGAGACACAGGAAGGGGUGGUGACUUGAGCAAGGUGCAUCAGCUGCCAGGUUUCCAGAAGUUCCCCAGUCAUUGAGCAUUUCUGAGGCUCUUGAUGCAUAUGCCAAGUAGUUAUGGAGAAAGACACAGCAGCUUACCUCUGCAGGCAUCAUUGUGUGAAAGGAAGACCCAGGCUCUCUCACCACCCUUGAACAGAAGCCUUUUGCUAAGGUGAUAGCUACAUGUCCAAGCCUAUUGCGUGGCAUGCAUUUUGCCUUCUGCAGCCCACUAAAGGAAAUUGAAGUAUACAGAAUGCUUAUUUGGUCUACUCAGUAUCAUCCUAAAUGUAUGUACCAAUGCUUAGGAGUUUGCAGUUCACCCGCAAACCUCAGCGAUCCAAGCUCCCCUGGAUGACCAUCACUCACCAAGAAAAGAGCAAUAACAGGACCUGUUUUGCUAAUCCAGGACUGUUCUCCAGCACUAACUCUAAAUAAUCCCUUCUGCUAGAGUCCACUUUCUGGAACCUGUUGUGAGUAUUGUGAAUUGUUCUCCAACCUCUAUUCUAGUUAUCUCAUUUCCAUUGAGACUAGCAAAAGCACUUGCUUGAGAUUCUGUGUUCAAGUUUCAACUUUAGCAACUCACUUUUCCUUUAGGCCUCCGUUUUCAACGUUUCCCAAACUUGGUCCGUUGUGUGAGCUGGCUGAUAAAAGUUCCAGGUAACCUUCCUUGUUCUCAAGGUCCAUUUUCCAGGAAAAUCUGAGUCAUGGUGCUGGGGAGGACACUUAAGUACAUCAGUCAAUCAGAUGAUUAUUAAAUUUAGGAAAUAGUAGAUCAACUGGAUUAACUGGAUUAAAAUGCAGAAUCCCAGGCCCCAGCCCAGACCUACUGAACCAGCAUCUGCUCUUUAACAAGAGCCCCAUGUGAUGUGUGGGACAGAAAACUUUGUGAAGCACAGGGCUAGACAGUCUCUAAAGUCUUCUGCAGAUCAGAAACGCAGCAAUUCUGAGGUUUUCUUCAAUUUUCUAAUGUUAUUUCCAGCUCUUUCCCCUCUCUUCUUUCCUUGAUAUGCUGAGGAAAACUUUCUCUGUGAUAAGCAGAGUAGGUGUCUUGUUCUGUGAAUUUCUAAUGUCUCUGCAAGGGCUUCAUAUGUUGAAGGAAGUUGGGACUCAGGGGGUUAACUGCAAAACACAUUACCAUAGGACAGCUGCCACGGCAUCACAUUCUAAAAUCUGAUAAAUGAAAAAUGGGCAUGGUAUCAAAUUUAAUCACAUUUGUAUUCAGAUGUUGUUGAGAGCAGACACUGAUUUAUGAACUAGCAACAGACACCAGAUUUCCUGCCUAUGUUAUAUACAUAUGAAUGGGUGGACGGAUGGAUAGAUAAACAGACAGUGAAAUUAUGUUGCAAAUUACAUGGCACCAGACCUGUUUAUAACCUAGAUCUCAUCAAACUAAUAUUAAAAACUACUACAGAUAUAUUUUUUUUUCCUGGGCAGUAGCUGGUGGUCUUACUUUUACCCUGAAAAACAGACUUCUUUCAAAGGAUUCUCUUUCUUAAUUUGUGCAGCAUUGAAAAUGCUUCUGCUUUGCUCAGUAGAUAGCAUUAUCAUAUUUAUAUACAGAAAAAUGUUCUUUAUGGGAUGGAAAAGGAUAAAGGGAUGUUCAAACCAUUGCUGCGUUCUGUUGCGCACCCUCCCACUCCCUGACAACUCCGUUAAAACAUCAACAGUACAAGGGGCCACUGUAUAUUUCUGGGAUUACACACCAAGAUCUAGGCUUUUAGAGGACCUGUGAAGGGCUGAGGUGGAAGAGGAGAACAUUCAACAUGGAUUAAUAAUAAAAAAAUUAAGCAACUUUCCUCUCAGUUCAGCAAAGUAGGGAGAUCUAGGUUCAGUGUUUCUUGAUAUUUACAGUUUUGAAGGUAAAUCACUUGGCUGAUGAGGUUCUCUAUUUUGGGGCAGAUACUGCUUAAUAUCACCAGAGACAUCUAGCCAUCUUCGCAGUAUGUUUUCUUUACUACGCCUUUUCCUUGUAGAGACUUCCUGUAUUUGGCAAAUUUAAUCAAAUUUUAUUUAUCUUUCAGAGGUCACAUAGGUACAUUCACUCACUUUCAACCAAUAUUUCUUAAGACUGUGUUACGCUGUGCACAGGAGACAAGACACAGAAAUAGAUGACCCAUGAUUUGUCUUCUUUUUAUUUAAAAAAAAAAAAGAAGAAGAAGCUCUGUAUCUGUGAACAAGUCAGAUAGACACAGAUGAUUUCAGCAUAAUUAGGAGGAAUCACUGAGCUCAGCCCAGGGAGCUAGACUAGCUCAGAGGAGUACCUGAUUCACACUAGGAAGGUAUUGGCACAGGCUUCCUGGAAGUGGAGACACUGAAUGGAAUUCUAAAGGAUGUGAUACCUUCUACAUGUUCUUUAAGAUACAGGAUGGUGGGUGUUCUUAAUGGAGAAGUAGGAGAAAAGGGUUUUCCUGGUGUGAGAAACAAUGGAGAUUAGAAAAAGCAUGAUAAUCAGAGGACAAUUCACAGCUGUGGUAUGACUGGAAUAAAACCAUCCAUCCUCCAGAUGCCAGGAGGCAGGCACAACAGUCACUGUCCUGUGGCCUUCAUUCCUUGGGGAAAACACCACAAUGGUCAUCACCUGAACAAAUGGAGUGGGGAGAUGUGGAAGUGAAAGAAAGGGAACGCUGAAGAAGACAGUAUCAGAGACCCAGUAGCAAUGAAACCUCAAUUGGCACAGAGGAUUUGGGAAGAAGGACCCAGAUUUGAGUAUUUUCAGCUCUAGGUGCUGAAGAUGUUCAUGACCAAAUAGACAUGGUAGUUGAGGGAAAGAGGGUUUUAGGGAGCCCUUCUCCUUGGAAUUCUAGGUAAGUGAUGAUGCUAUUUACUAAGAGAAGACAUCCAGAAGAAGGAGCUUGCAUUGUCUUUAUUUUGAUUUUGUUUUGGUGGAAUUGAGAAUACAAUGUAUUAUUACUGUGGAGGAGGUGGAAAUAAUGCCAACUUAAACCUUCCCUCCCCUAGGGAGCUCUCCCUAACAAUCUGGGCUGGAAAGAGUGUGUUCCUUUAGGAAACAAAGCAUGUAUUACCCAUUGAGAAUCCAUUAUUACUUUGAAUUUUUAGUUUUGUUUUCAUGUGUUGCUUUAUCUUCUUAAUUAAAUUAUCUCUUCUAGGGAGAAGACAUCUUACUCUUAUUGGAUCAUGCACAGUGCCUGAAGCAUUCUGUUGCAUGUAGAAGGUAUUGGUGGAUGUUUGUUAAUUGAUUUGUUGAAUUUUUUUUCACUGAACACAUUCCCAAGAAACAGCCAAACCCAGAGUAAGGAAACCAUCUGGCAAGAACCGCUCAAGAGAAUGCUUCUUGGCUCUCACAUCUUAAAGGUCUUAAAAUAGCUAACAUUUAUUGAACAUUUUACUAUAUGCCAGGUAUUAUGGGCUAAGCCCAUUAUAUAUGUGAUCUCAUAUAAUUAAUCUUCAAAACAAUCUUGUGUCAUAAAUGCUACAAAUACUUUGAUUUUAAAACUGAUGAAAAUGAGAUUCAGGGAGAUUGUCAUUUUAUUUGCAGUCAGUAAAUUGCAGAUGUAAGAUUCAAAACCAGACUUCACAUCUACCGACUUCAGUGACCCUGAAAUUUGUUCACAGAGAGCAUUUAACAUAACUGUCUUCAUCAUCUCCUUCUCUACAUUAAAAAUUAUGGGUAAGUCUCUUGCUUUUCCAGUCUUCAUUGCUUUUCUAGUCUUAGAAAUAUUAUACAAAGACAAGAAAUACAAGAGACUUACUCAUAGCUAUGUGUCCAGAGCUAGAGUUAGAAUUCGCAUCUAGAUCUUGAGACAGGUAACUUCUUACUCUACUGCGUUGGUUUUAAGACAAAUCUGUUGAGGCAAACUUUUUGCUGGGCACUGUAGGCAACAGAAAGAAACUGAGGGUCUGCUAUUUGUCUCCAGAGGCCUUACAAACUGGUAGAAGAUGCAUAACAGAAGAGCUUAUGAAGUUAAAGAUGACAGCAUAGCAGCACUGGUGAGAUCCUUUUAGACAUAACAUGGUAGGAAGGACUGUUUGACAAAGUGAAUGCCUGUCUUUCAGAAUAUACAGGGAGGUGUGAUGUACCCAUUAUCACAAGCAGAUGGAAUCCCUAUAGAGUCGGAUCUCAUCUACAUAUCACCUAUUAUAUGUAGUUAUUGAUGGAUAAAUACUUCAACAACUAAAGGCAGAAAGAGAGCAGGUGGGCAUAGGAGUUAGUAAACAUCUCACUGCUAUUGUUUUUCAAGGUGAAGCUAGAGAAGAAGAUUCCUAAGAUGUAGGAGGAAAUUAUCAUACUGAGUAAGAGGGUGCAAUUUUGGAAGGUUGGACUUGAUGACCUCUCCAGCAUUAAGGGUGAAUGAUUCUUUCUAGGGAUUUGGUUUGUUGCCAGAGAGCCUGGCUACCUGCUAUUUAGUUGCUUUGUUGAUUAGCAAAUUUCCUCUGAAAUAUUCCUCACAUUCAUGAGCCCCCUUCCUGGGGUAGGUGGACCCAGAAAAUGUUUUCUCCCAUUUUAGUUGGCCAUGUGUUUGAAACUCAGAUGGACCUAAGUCUUUCAGCAUCAUUGUCACUACUGUAUGUCUAUCCAUAAAAAGAAGGCAUAAGACUCUCUGUAGUAUCACGAAGUUAGCCAUUUGGGAUUGCAAAAACUUUCCUCUUUCCAUUGGAGAGAAAUAGUUUAGAUUAGAUGGUGGAGCCCCUACCACAUCUCCCAAAAUUUAAAUUAUAACAUGAACAGUAAUUUAGGUCUGAUUUUAAUAUUUUGUCAUUCUUAAACCUAAUAAAAGCUACAUCUUCCUAAAGACCCUCCUAAUUUUUAUUAUGGACAGUUCACAAAGACGUUAUUGGUGAUUCAAUCUUGAGUCAUGAAAAGUCAACCUUGAGCCACAAAAAGUCAACCUUGAGCCAAGCAGAUUGGAGAGUCAUACAUGCCAUUCCUGGGACCAUCAAAAAUGGCAGAGGUCACACAAAAAGGCAAAACUUUUAAGAGGUGUUUUAAACGUCGUAUGGGCCAAAGAGAAGCUGGAUUUCCUAUUGGAGUCACCUGUAACACACGUGUGACGAAAUUGGCCUGUGAGGACAAGGCAGUGAGCAGAGAGGACAGCAGUCCUUAUGAGAUCAAGCUCUAAGGUGAGGUUGCAGGAUCUGAAGGCCAGCUCCCCUGCUUGCUCACUGUAUGACUUUAGGCAAGUCAUUUUACUUCUGAAUGAUUCAUAUUGGAAGUAAAAUAUAUGAUUGGUUAAAAUAGUUUCUAAAUUUAUUAUGGGGAUUAAAUGGACCAAUAUACUCGAAGCUUUUCAGACAGAGUCUGGCGCAAAGUAAGCACUUAGAAAAAUGUAAGCUUUUAUUAUAAUAGAAACUAUUAAUAUAAUAAUUAUUCCUGGGUGUAAAAUUAGGGAAAAUCAUUAGAAUAGAAAGGAAGAAAGAAACAAGAAUCAGAAUAGGAGCAAGAGAGAUUUCAAGGAAGGGGUAAGGAUGUUUGGGAGAUACUAGUUUUCCCCUAGACUGGUAUCCAAACUAGAUUUUAAAAUCUUGAGAUAGGGCCUUGUCUUUUAUGAUGGGCAGGAUUUCUUUGCUCUUAGCAUUGAUAAAAUGUGGCAUGACCAGUGGCUGGUUGAAUGAUGUAUAGCUCCAGCUGGAAUCAAGAUCACAGUAUGCUGACCUCUGAACUUUGUAAGAUUGCAAUGAUUACUCUUCUUCCACUCAGAGGCUCAUUAGUGUCAAGCCAUGGUUGUCCCUGUUUUGAUGAGUAUUCACCACCUGGCUACAUGUGACCUGGCUUCUGGUUAUAACCAUACCAGCCUGCAUGACUUCCCAUAGCAUGCUGCCAUCAGACACUGCUCUCCCAUCUUCUGCAACAUGAGAUAACUUUUCACAAUUGGGGCAUGAGGGGCAGUGCUAGUGGAUACAACAUUUUAUGUCAAAUCAGGGGUUCUGCAAAAUGCCCCUGGUUAAUUUAGUCCAGAGUCUAAUGUAAAAAGGUAUCUGAGUAGCACAAAAUUGCAUAUAUAAUUGUUUUCCAUCAUUAUUUUAUAACUUUCCUCAAUAUCAUCCAGGUAUCCUAGACACAUUUGGAGAAUUCACCUGAGCUACAGGAUGUGGUAAGAUUUGGUGAGCAGGUGGUGAUUCUUACAGAAUCCCUCACACAUUCAUGCACAGAACUUCCCCAGCACACUCCCAGGUAGGACCACUUCCCUCUUCAUUGUGCAAAGAUUCACCACUGGUUCCAGCCUUCUCUGGCACUUUUAAGAUAUGCAUCAGGUUUUAUUCAUCUCUGAUUUUCUAGCCUCUGGCAGACUACCUGGUGUACCAGAGGCUUUGUAAGUAAUAGUUAAAUAAAGAGAAAACAUUAAAGCAACAUUGAAGGAAGAGGGUUAACCAGACUACAGAUUUGAGACCUCUAUCUCAGAGGGCCAACAGUCAUGUUGAUGUUUUCAUGCUUUCUUGGAUAUAAAAGUCACACUACACUUUCCCUCUCGGUGACCAUGUACAAAGGUUCAUUUAUAAUUAAUAGACAAAGUCUUUAAUAAAGCAAACCAAAUGUCAUCUUUCCUUUUUUCUGCAAUAUGAAGUCAUUAUUUCCACUGGAUGAAAGCACUUUUGACCUAUAAAAAUAAAAAAGUGAGAUGUUAGGUGACUUCAGUGCAUAAAAAUACUGUUUCUUGUUACCAAUAAUAUAUACUCAACCAUCGUCUUCAUCUUUAUCAUGGUCUCCUGGGGCAAACUGAAUCUGAGUUAGCAGGGUUUAAUAAAAGUUAUUCUGAACAUCUGGGUCAUUGUAGAGACACAUAUUGAAAAUUGAAACACUUUAUAUGUCAACAGAUGUUCUAGAAGAAGCCUGUCUAUUUUCUCUUAUUCAUUUAUGAGUCCAAGGAGAGGAAAAGUUCUUUGUUCAUCUCUCCAUCCAUGAUAUUAUGCUCCAUGCCUGAACCUCACCUAAUGCCUACUAUGUUUUAC
rnacentral:lncRNA from 10 species